rnacentral:rRNA from 2 species
UGUGUUGUUGGGUAGGGGAGCGUUCUGUAAGCCUGUGAAGGUGUGUCGUGAGGCAUGCUGGAGGUAUCAGAAGUGCGAAUGCUGACAUAAGUAACGAUAAAGCGGGUGAAAAGCCCGCUCGCCGGAAGACCAAGGGUUCCUGUCCAACGUUAAUCGGGGCAGGGUGAGUCGACCCCUAAGGCGAGGCCGAAAGGCGUAGUCGAUGGGAAACGGGUUAAUAUUCCCGUACUUGGUGUUACUGCGAAGGGGGGACGGAGAAGGCUAUGUUGGCCGGGCGACGGUUGUCCCGGUUUAAGCGUGUAGGUGUGUGUUCCAGGUAAAUCCGGUUCACUUUAACACUGAGGCGUGACGACGAGGCACUACGGUGCUGAAGCAACAAAUGCCCUGCUUCCAGGAAAAGCCUCUAAGCAUCAGGUAACAUCAAAUCGUACCCCAAACCGACACAGGUGGUCAGGUAGAGAAUACCAAGGCGCUUGAGAGAACUCGGGUGAAGGAACUAGGCAAAAUGGUGCCGUAACUUCGGGAGAAGGCACGCUGACACGUAGGUGAAGUGAUUUACUCAUGGAGCUGAAGUCAGUCGAAGAUACCAGCUGGCUGCAACUGUUUAUUAAAAACACAGCACUGUGCAAACACGAAAGUGGACGUAUACGGUGUGACGCCUGCCCGGUGCCGGAAGGUUAAUUGAUGGGGUCAGCGCAAGCGAAGCUCCUGAUCGAAGCCCCGGUAAACGGCGGCCGUAACUAUAACGGUCCUAAGGUAGCGAAAUUCCUUGUCGGGUAAGUUCCGACCUGCACGAAUGGCGUAAUGAUGGCCAGGCUGUCUCCACCCGAGACUCAGUGAAAUUGAACUCGCUGUGAAGAUGCAGUGUACCCGCGGCAAGACGGAAAGACCCCGUGAACCUUUACUAUAGCUUGACACUGAACAUUGAGCCUUGAUGUGUAG